CGAAAGUUAAGCGUGCUCAGGCUGGAGUAGUGAGAGGAUGGGUGACCAGCCGAGAAGUUAGAUGAUUUGGAAUGAUGAGGGGUGAUUACAGAUUAGAGGUUAAAUUGAGCAGUGAUGAGUGGUGAUUAGAGAUUAAAUUAGAAAAUAAUUCAGAAAAUUGAAAAUCAGAAAAAAAAAUUAAAAAAAAAAUUUCAUAAAAAUAAAAAAUUUCCUAGGUGGAGCUCCAGACAGUGGCCACAUGGACAGCUUACUAGAUUAGUUAGAUUUUCUACUCCAAUGAUUAGUUAGAUUUUCUACUUCAAUUAUACUUCUCCCUCCCAAAAUAAGUGACUCAACUUCAUACUAGAGGGAGUAUCUAUCUGUUAAUUUAAAUUAAUAAAGUGGUUUUGUUUGAAAAACAGUGUCAAAGACUAAUUCAAGAGGGACUGAUGAAUUUGGUGAGGUUCUAUUACCAGCUCCGCGGAAGAUGGCACCAUUAAGAUCAUAGUGUUCUCGGGCUGGAGCGAAGUCGCUUCUCCUUUCAUCAUCCCAGCCAUGUCCACAGAUACAAGUAAGUAGUGUGCUGAAUUAACAUCAAAAGAACGCGGUGUUAAGAUCAAAAUUAGGAUGGAUUUAUUAGAACAGAAGGAUGGCCUACCGCACAGUGCAUCAGUUUUUCUUUUUCUAGAACAGAAGGAUACCAAAUCAGGGAUCGAACCUGACUGGCCUGGAACAGGAAGCAAUGCCCCUCCCACUGAGCUAACCGCUCAAUUCUUACAAUUCAUCAUGAUCGUACAUGAAUCUUUUUCUUUUUUUUUAGAAACGUACACAAUUUUUUGGCGGAGAGAUCGGACACGCAUCAACACAAGUGAGUUUCAAAGGCAGUACGCACGCAAGCAUAACAAAAGAAAAACAUUGCACAAAAAAAAUUGUUCUCUAUUUACUGAUUUGGCUAUCAACGUAGUGCUUUUAACAUAGUACAACAUAGAUGCCCAUAUAGACACAGAUACACUCAUUUCUAUGAACGCAUGUGCGCACACUAUCCAUAUAAGCACUUUUGAGAUAAUGAGCCGGCACAACAUCUUGAGGUUGACGAAGUCAUCACAUGCUUCUUCGUUGAUGUUAGAAACGUCUUCUCCCACUGAAUGAACAUCACUAAAAAGUCUAAAAUAAAUUUAGAAAAAUGCAAGCACCAGCAUCAAGUCUACAACUUGAAUCAUUGUGGGUUGCGACAUAACCAUCUGACCUAUGCUCAGUUCGUGACAUAGAGUUGUUUGGAUACCCUGAUUUUAGUAAAUCAACUUGGCCUAAACACACUUACGGUUCUAACUAAAUAAAGCUUUAUUCAUUUAGCGUAAUAAGUCUUGGGUAAGUAAACAUUAGUUUUCGUAAAACUGAAAGAACGAGCUUUUGGAAAAGAAGCGUGAUAACUCGUGAAUGUUAGGAAUUUAGGAAGAGUGCAAAACGCUUCUACUCCCUCCGUUCCUAAAUAUUUGUUUUUUUAGUCAUUUCAAAUGAACUACAACAUACGGAUGUAUGUAGACAUAUUUUAAAGUGUAGAUUCACUCAUUUUGCUCCGUAUGUAGUCACUUGUUGAAAUAUCUAGAAAGACAAAUGUUUAGGAACGAAGGGAGUACUAAACAACUAUGCAUGCAUAAAACAAAAUAAACGAUGUCAUCAGAUUUGCUUGCUAAUCUACUAGACAACUAUACAUGCAUAAAAUAAAAUAGAUGAUGUCAUCAGAUUUGCUUGCUAAUCUUUUGUUAUGAGCUUUCAUGUGUAUUUGUGCUGACCUUUCCCAUACAAGUAUGCAUAUAGGACAGAGUUGCUAAUGUCUGCAAAGAUUCUCGUUAAUUUUUAAAUUAAAAAUGUUUUGUAGCUCAAACCUGUGUCCGAUUUAAAAUGCAUUUUUAUCAAUAAAUUCAUCGCGUCGAGAUCUUUGAAACUAGAUCUCAUAUUGGUAUAUUCCGAUGACUUUUUGUGAUCCAAAUUACCAUGACUGGUCUAUGACAGUUUUCGCGCUUGCUAUACGGAAGUUAUCAUGUUUACACUAAAGUUACCGGGCAUAAAAAAAAUUCCCACCCUUUUCAGCACAUGCAUGUUCAUGCACGCACUAGAGGACAAAAAAUUGGCCCGAUUCAAAAAUCUGUUUUCACUAUAAAUUCAUCAUGAUGAGACCUUCAAAAGUAGAUCUCACGUCGAUAUGUCUCAGUGACUUUUUUUUGGGUCCAAACUUACAGGCAUGGGGUACGUAAGUUAUCAGCCCCGCAGUGGACGUCUUGUACACAUAAUUUACGGGGGUAUGUCUAAACUACUUUUUCUUCCUGGGUCAAAAUCACGGUGUUUGUACGUAAGCGAUUAGGUAUGUGAUGUAUAAUUAUCAUGCUAUUUGCACAUAAAUUAUCGGGGUAUAUUUUCAACAACAUUUUCCCCUAAGACAAAGUUACUACGGUGUUUGUACAUAAAUUAUCAUGUCUACAAUAUGUAUAUUACAUGCUAUUUAGGCAGAAGUUACCGGGGCUAUUUAGGCAGCAGCACCUCCCUCGCCGGUGGACACACCCACCCGCAGCCCCUCUCUCUCCCCGUGCACAGUUGCCACCGACGAACUCUCUUUCCUCUCCCUCCCCAUUCACAGUCGUCGCAGACGAUGGGCGAAAGGUUCCCCGGCGAUGGGGCGGCGGCCAAUGGCUUCGGCCGCCGCUCUAUACACGAGUGGGAAGCCCAUCUCCUGCAUGAAGCCAACUACCCGGCGCCUCCGACAUGCGCGCACCGGGGCGGUGGAGACUCAGUGCCGGCGGCGUCCUCGUCCCCCCGCUGCCCGAUCACGCACCCCGACUACUUCCACACCGAGAUCGAGCGUGCGCGGCGUCUCUGUCGGAGGAGCAGCGGGCCCUCCCGGAGUACGACGCCGGUAAAAACGAGGCGUGGGCGGCGUACUUCAAACGUCGGCAGGCGGAGCGGUUGGCGUCAACCAACAACGCUCCGGUGGUGCGGGGGAGCAAAAACGGCAACGGCCGCCGCCGGUGGUGGGGCUCUCCCGGGCGCACGCUCCAUGCCGUCCUCGAGUACCUCGAGGGCGGCAACGAUCCGCCGCUGACGUACCCGGCCGCCCUGGUCCCCCGCCGGAGUGGCGGCCAAUGGAUGCCGAGGAGGACCGGCUCCUCCUCCUCCUCCUCCUCCUCCCAAUCCUCCUCGCACUCCUCCGGGUCGUCGGCGCUCUUCAGCGUCAAGGCCGAGCCCGCGGAAACGCCGCUCGGCCGGCGCACCUGCAGCGUCGGCAUUGUCAUCAACGAGGGUGGGCAUGCCUCCUCGUCCGCUCCUCCUCGUCUCGUUAAGACGAAGAUGGAGCCGGGGCUCACCCUCGUGAAGACAGAGCCGGGGUCGCCGACGUGAAGACAGAGCCGGGGCUCGCCGACGAAGCGGCCAUGAAGUGGGCGCGGGAAUAUUGGGCGCGGCUGGAGAUGGAUCGCUAGUGUCGCGCCCUGGCGGAGAUCGCCGCGUGCCGCCGUGGGCGUGACGAAGGGGGCGUCAUCGUGCUUGAAGAUAGCGACGACGACGCGCCGCCACAGGCCAAUCCUGUCUGCCUGGGCGACCCCGGGAAGGGCUCCGGCAGCGUGAAGAAGGAGAAGGACGACGACGGCGGCGGUGACGGCGACGACGACGACGGCGACGAUGACGGUGACAUCGCCGCAUUCAACGAGUUCUUCGGCCUGCAGUAGUCGCGGAUGUUUAUUUUUUAGUCAAUUUCAUGUUUUCUAUGUAAAAAAAUGUAGAACGCCGAAGUUUAUGUCCUGUUUGCCGAAUUUUAGCUGAUUUUCUUUUCAAAAAAGGUUUAAGAAAGGGCGUCUGUGGACGACGGCUGGAAAACCGAUCGCCCCCAAACCGAUUUUUAGCGUCGAGUCGUCCCAGGCGGUGAUUUUUUGAGCCCUUUGGGGGGUCAACAGCUGGAGAUGCUCUAAGCUAACGUGUGUGCGCGCCAUUACCUCAAAGAUCUAUCAAUCCAGCUCCAUGCUUGCCUGCGUAUCUCCAGGAAGAAUCAAUCAACCAGCUUGGUUGCUUGGAAGCCAGCUUGUGCCUACACACAUACUUCCUUCGUCUGAAAAAGCUUGUCUUUAAAUGGAUGUAUCUAGCACCAAGUUAGUGCUAGAUAUAUCCAUUUAAGGGACAAGCUUGAGACAAGUUUUUUCAGACGGAUAGAGUAUCUCUCGGCCAAACAUAUCGGCUGACGAAUGUUGCAUAAGUAUAUCGAAAACUACUCAACGUACGGGCCAUGUGCUAACGAUUGGUAUUAGAGCUUAGAUGUCUGGAAUAAAUUUUGAUGGACUCACGGGUGGUCGGUCAUGGUUGCUGGGUUGAAAACGCUGGUGUUAGCGAGUCCAUGAGUGACCGGUGUAUGAGGGGAGAUUGUUGGGUUUAUUCCCACAUCAAUUUUUGAGGGAGGCAGAACACGAGGUGUCCUCUCCUAUCAGGCUAGUCUUUUAAGGGGAUAGGGCACAAGACCUCUCAUAAGUCGGUUUUGCUCUUCAGUUGGGCCUGGUUAACACAUAUGACCAUGAUAAUUGUUGUAUGUGUGGCACGAAUACAUGGCAACUUUAAACUUUUUAUCACAAGUUUAGUGACGCGAGGACUGCAACUUUAGUUGUUAAGCAUGGCAACUUUCUUUUCGAAUGGCAAGUUGUCUUUUUGUUUUUUUUUCUUUUAGCAUGGCAAUUUUAGUUGUAAAAAACGUCAGAACCAAAUUGGUCCGUGCCAAUAUUUAUCAUUUGGUAACACAUAUGUGUUGAAAAUUUUGGUGUUAACAAACCCGGGAUCGCAUAACAUUGUGUUGGCUCUCAUUCAUUGUCGUCCAAGCCGAAGCUAAAAUGUUUCUAUGUCUUCGGUCUGAAGCAAACAAUGGACCUGAACCCCAGGCAGGGAGUAUGACAAGGUGUGGCCUAUCUGCGAGGGCGUAGCCAAUGGCGUGGCCGUCUCUUACGCAGAUGCGACGCCAUGGCUGCGGCUCUGCUCUCCGCCGUGUUAGCCGUGGGCGACCGUGCAGUCUCUUGCGCUUAAAUAUAUUUUAUCAUCAAACAAGAUUUUAGAAACCGGGCCUAACUAGAUCUAUUUCUUCAAUCAAGGCAGACGACAAGUUAAAAAUUAUGGAAGAGAAAAAACACCGGAGAAUGGUUUUGUUAUGUAUUUGCAUGCAUAUGCUAUAUCAGCUAAGAGCAUCUACAGCCGGACGUCUUAAACUAGUCUCAAACGGGACGGGUAAAAAAAACCAACCCAGUCGGGUGCCUCAAACUAAUUCAAGAGUCCCGACUAACCGGCACCUCUCAUAUCUAGCUCAAAUCAUUCGCCAUGUUGGAUCGACGGUGGGAUCCCACACUAAAUCAGUCGGAAACCAAUCGGUACGACAACCGUCUCUUUCGAUUUUGAGGAGGGCAGUGAGGACGCAUUGAGGGCGUCGUUCGAUGACCGAAGACCAGCUAUUUAAGCCAGACGGAGACCUCAACCACAGUUGCACCCCAUUUCCUCUCUGUCUUCCUCCCCUUCGCGCCGCCACUCACCCAUCCACUCGCGUCCACUGCUACCCGCUAGCCAUGGCCCGCCGGAAGGUCACCACCUAUGCCAUGCUCACGCUGAAGGGGCGCCUAGAAUUGAUUGAGGAGAUCCUGGCUAAGAGCAAAGCCCGGAUCGCAGCCGGCCUGCCUCCGGACUCGCCGAACCCAGAGGAGGAGGAGGACGCAGAGGCGGAGCUGGAGCAGGACGCGGACAUGGAGGAUGUGCAACCGUAAGAGGAGGACAAUGAUGUGCGUGAGGCGAAUCCGGUGCCUCCUGCUACGGGCUUCGGCAUGCCUAAGGCACUGCCAGAGUUCGAGGUGGCCCAGGCGGAGCGGCAUGCCAUCCUCGACUCCAUCCAGUCAAAGUCAGAGGUGAAGGCCAAUAGCCGUUUCCUCUCCCAGUGGGGCAUGGAGAUCGACAUGUGUUCACCAUUUUGGCGGAGGGAGAGUCGGAGGAGCCGGAGCUCAACACAGGCGGCCAUCUACUCGGAGCCCGGCACGGAGAUCAUUACAUCUCCAACGACAGUGAUUAAUGUAUGCUAGCUUAGGUGAUCUACGCAGUAUGUAGAUUUUAUUUUUGCACGUUUGUGUGGAUUUGAGGUAGCAAAUAUGAGAUCGUUGGAUGCAAAGAAGGAAAAAUGAGUGUUGCCGUCACUGCCAGUGGACGAGCCCGAUCACGUCCGCAGGCGUUUGAGGGCCUUGAUUUGAUAUUUAUGCUGUAAUAGGGCUGAGAUUUGCCCUAGUAUUGUUUCUAAAAAAAUAUGGCCACUUCCGACCAAUGUGUGAAAAUUACAUAAACAAGCAUUUGAAACUACAACUCACAUAGUGUUGGAAUUUGCUAGUAGGUAUUUGGCCCAAACCCCAAUUAAAAUUCUAAAUUUCUCUUGGCCCAUUCAUGCAUAUCUAGUGAGUGGUGUGAGUGAGACUAAAAUUUAGUCGCACUCCAAAAGUUGAGUGAGGCUUGCACCUCUUUAUAAGGUGAGCUCUUCUACCGCAUAUGAGCAUGAGAAGAGGAGACCUACACGCACGCUCCUCCUCCUCGCUCGCCUCGCCAUGACGCGGGUUGCGUAAAUGAGCCGAGGCGGGGACAGAGCUAUGCAUGUUGUCUAUAUCUUUGCUGCUCGAAAAAAUUAAUAAGUCAUUAAUUAAUAAUUAAGCCGCUGCCGCAUCGUAUGGUUUCGCACCACCGUUCCAGAUCAUAUCAUUGCGCCGUCACGAAGUCUUCUCCAUCUCUCCUUUCGUGAACCUGUAUGGGAGAAGGGCGAUUAGGUUCUCGCGCUACUGCUGGCAGCGACGACUUCACUGACGAUAACUUCUUCCCCAACCUCGGCAACCUCUUCCUCAACGACAUGGGCGACAACAUCAACGGUGCCGCUCCCGUUGCACCUUGGACUGAAGCAUUGAUGAACCUCGAAUCAUAAUUAUGGUUCUCCUUGUUCUUCUAACCACCCUGGCAAUGCAACAUCUUGCUCAAAGCUUUUCUUUCAAAUUUCCUUUUGUUUUCACAUACUCCUUGUGCCAAAGGUGCUGAUGUGAAUGCCGUCAAACAAGCCCAAAUUGAAGUGGAAUCAAUUCAGUGGACGAUUGGUGUAGAUGGCUGCUCUGAUUGGGCACUUGAAGUUGGCAAACAUGGGAAAAAAGGUGCUCCAGGUGCAGGAUGGUCCCUGACAAGGCGAAAAACAGAGCAGUUCCAGGAUCUUGAAGAUGGUGGCCUUGGAAGUUUUCAGAAGAGCUACAUGAUGGAAAACAGUUAGGAUAAAAGUAGCUUUGGUGCCUGCACCGGGAGUACAUGGUGCUAGCUUUUUUCUGUCUUAGCUGCUGGAUUUUGCUGAUUUUGCAAGCUUGAUGUGGCUAUGCAAACAGUUAGGACCUGCAUGUCCUAAGUCUGUGUCUGGAUGCUGAGUCUAAACUCCAGCAUCUUUUCUUGUUUUUUUUUUGGUGGCUUUCGUUGUGUUUUUAUUUCAGCAUUGUACUCUGUCAUGUUUUGUUAAGUCAGCUGAGUGCAAGGCCUC